rnacentral:rRNA from 1 species
CCUACGGGUGGCAGCAGUGGGGAAUAUUGGGCAAUGGGCGCAAGCCUGACCCAGCAACGCCGCGUGAAGGAAGAAGGCUUUCGGGUUGUAAACUUCUUUUCUGAGGGACGAAGAAAGUGACGGUACCUCAGGAAUAAGCCACGGCUAACUACGUGCCAGCAGUCGCUGUAAUACGUAGGUGGCAAGCGUUAUCCGGAUUUAUUGGGUGUAAAGGGCGUGUAGGCGGGAAAGCAAGGCAGAUGUGAAAACUCAGGGCUCAACCCUGAGCCUGCAUUUGAAACUGUUUUUCUUGAGUGCUGGAGAGGCAAUCGGAAUUCCGUGUGUAGCGGUGAAAUGCGUAGAUAUACAGAGGAACACCAAUGGCGAAGGCAGAUUGCUAGACAGUAACUGACGCUGAUGCGCGAAAGCGUGGGGAGCAAACAGGAUUAGAUACCCCUGUAGUC